AUGAUCUCUGCUCCCAUCUCAGUGAUUGGGAUUCUCUUACUCUUUGGGGAUACUUAUGGAGAUUCAGUGAUCCAGACAGAAGGACAUAUCACCCUUCUUGAGAGAUCGCCACUUACACUGAACUGCUCUUAUAAGACCAGUGUACCUCCUUAUCUUCUCUGGUAUAUUCAGUAUCCCAAUGAAGCUCUGAAGCUUUUUGUGAGUGAGGCAUCAGGAAAAGAGCAGGAGAAAGACAACAAUGGAUUCUGGACUAAAAAGAAUACAGAAAAGUCUUCCUUCCACCUGGAGAAAACCUCGGUCCAAGUAGGAGAUUCUGCUGUGUACUACUGUGUCGUGAGUGACACAGUGACAAAGACUGUAGGGGGCACUUAUGGAGAUUCAGUGACUCAGACAGAAGGACCCAUUACUCUCUCUGAGGGAACAUCACUCACACUGAACUGCUCUUAUCAGACCAGUGGGGCACCUUAUCUCUUUUGUUAUCCUAAUUUGGAGCAUCCAGAAGAAUGUUUGUUUAAAAUUAGGAGCAACAAGAGUAGUAUCUGCUUUCUGUAUCCUGGAAGAGAAGUGGAUCUAAGGAAGGAAUUACUGACAUCCAUUUCCCCAUUAGUGGACAAGUCAUAA